GGGAAGCCGGUGAGAUUCCGGCGCGGUCGCGCCACCGUGAGAUCGGCCCGAAAACGGAUCGAUCGAGUCGGACC
rnacentral:ncRNA from 1 species